GUGAUGAUGGUGCAGUGGUAACAUCUCCCGCUCAGUUAUUUGGAAGGCUCAGGUUCAGUUCCUGAUCGUCACC